GGGGCGUCUCGCGCAGUGACCGUUACUCCUCAGAGGGUGUGGGGUCACCUCAGGGUGGGGUGUGGUGUGGGUGUUCCUUCUGAGUGUUCGAAAACGGUUUGAGCUUGGUGUUCUAAACAGUUCUUCCACGCCUCUAAGCUUAAACGGCUAUUGAGACCGAUUCCUCCUCUUCAGGCUUCUGUUAAAUACAACUCAUUUUUUCUUUAUUUUUUCCCAUUGUUGCCUGACAAAUUUAAGCACGCUGAAGGUGCAGGUGGUUUCCAAAGGAGCCGGUUUUCCCAGUUCAAACAUUCUCUGUUCCUGUUAGGAGACUUCAGCAGGAACCUUUCCUACUGCUGGUCAGAUUUUCCUUGUGAUUCCUCAGUUCUUUCUCUCUUCUUCUCUCUCUCGUUAAGGUGCUUGUGAACUCACCCCUCCUUAUUGUGGCAUUCAGGAUAAAUAGUCCAUAAAGUCUUCAUUUUACUUUUUUUAUGGUUGUAAUUGGAAGACAAGACUUUCCAGUAAAGGAGAUGGGGAAAUAGGAGCCUUUCCUCACUUCUGAUGGUGUGAACAGUUAAUAGUUUUGGUCUUACUGGACUUCAUGGAACGCCAUUUCCAUGUUCUACUGAGUUACACCAGUUGUCCUUAAUGGCAGCAAUCCCUCCCUCCCUCCCUCCUUUCCUUCCUUCCUUCCUUCCUGUAGCAUUUAAUGAAUUCCAUAAAGAAUAGGCACAAAUUGAACUUUGUCUUAUGUAAACCACUUCAUGUGCCAUUUGUAGACAGAAAGCAAAGAACAUUUCUGUUAAGCUGCAGGUACUAUCAGUUGUUCGGUGUUGUGGAAAACAUAAUUUCUUAAUGACCACUUUAUAUGACAGUGGGAUGGAACAAUACGUCAUCAAUAGCUAAUGAGCUAUAAACUAUGUAUUUUUUUUUCAUUAGAAAUAUAGCCUAGCCUAGUUUAGUUCCCAACUUGUGUCAAGAACUAACAGUCAGAAAUCCCCAUAGCAAGCUGCUUUGAAUAGCUGGUUUCUUGCAUUGCAAAGCAGCCACAAUGAAGGCCUUCAGGGACAUUGCAGAAAUGGGGAUUUAUGGACAGGGUAGACUCACAUGAGGGAAGACAUUCAUUUGCAGACCUCAAUAUGCUGGCACCUAAUUGAAGAGUGCUCUGCAUAUUAUUAUGCUUCCAUCCCUCUCAGUUACACAGCGCGUCUCACAGACUGAUAUUUUUUUACUAAAAAGAUAUUUCUUUCCUCCCAGAAACAAUCAUCUCUCCAUUAAAUACAUCUAUCUUUAUGUGAAUUUACUGUUGCAUCACUGAUUAAAUAACAACAACAAAAGAUCUUAAGAACUAGUUACCUGUAGCUGAGGCCCUGAGAUCUGUUUUUCCUGCCCAGUUGUGUAGAUGGCAGAGUGUAGUUUGACACUGGUAUUGUUCUUGCUUGACAGCAGUCUUAUGCAGCAGUGUUAUGCAUGAAAGCUUUUCUCCAUAUAGUCUGUGAGUGACUAAAUAUGGAUUAAGGACAUACUGUUAGUACUGCAAUGUGGGCAUUAUGACCCUAUGUUUUUUUCUUAUCCCGCACACUUUGGUUUGACUGUGAAAACGUGGGGAGGAGUUUUCGGAGAGAAAUUUGUGAAUUAUAACACUAGGUGGCACUUAAACACCGCUAACAAAAGCUCUUAAAUCUCGCAGCACACAAAACCAGACAAACACAUUCCGUUACAACAUGCAGUUAAUUAUAUCCUCAAAAUGAUGUCUUGGAUUGAUAUUACUAAACAAACAUGUAUAAAAUGUAAUUACAGACAAGUGAAAUAAAUACUGUAGGCUUAUAAUUGCAAGAUGUGGGUUUUUUACUUGUGAUACACUACACACCUGUGCGUAGUUUAUAUAGCUAGUAUUUUAUGUUGUCAUUUUUGCUAGCAUUUAGAAGGGCGUAGUUUACCUUUAUGUGCUUUUAUUUACUGGUUUCAGUUUGCGCCAUAUGUCAGUUUUUAAAAAAUUAAUGUUUUUAUGUAUUUGGAUUUUAAAACUGGAGUAUUUCAAAAAGAGAACCAUAAGAAAGGAGCUUUUUUAUACAAAACUAUUUAAAAAACUUGUUUAAAAAUGCAUACACUUUAUUUUUUUUAUAAUUGCUUUGCUUUCCUCUUCUUUCUUUGCUUGCACCUCUAUUGCUAGAAUAGUUUAACAGCUACUUGAAGGUCCCAAAUAUAUCUGUUCAUAAACAUUUCUUAUGUGAUAUUAAGAUAUUCCAGGCCUAUAGAACAAUCUAAGAGCCAUGAAAUCCCAUCAGAGUAGCUUGUGGCCAUCAGCUUGGGUUUUGGCAGUUUUUUCUAUCAACUACAAAGUGGAAGACAGUUGGCAGCAUUUCAAGCAAAUAUACAACCCCUUUGCUAAGCUACUUGAAGUUACAACAAGCUAAAAAGACAAAGAUGUUCAAGGAAAUGUCCUCCUAGUCAGGGAGAAAGCUAAUAAUGCAUCAAAUGUAAAAAAGUGCAAAAACUGCCUUGUAGUUCCUCUCUCUCCUCAUGUUCCAGUAUUCCAGGGGUUGGUCUCAACCUUACUGUUGGCACAUCCACACCAUACUCUGUUCAGGGUUAGUUCGCUUCAUUGCAGUACUAAGACUUGAGCUGAGAUGAAACUCCUAAGUUGGAAAUGGUAGGGCAACUAACAUCAUGUUCCAGUACUUGCAUUUUGUUAUUUGGUAGCUCAAUUGAUUUCUGAUGUAUAGGAUGGAGAUGAUCAGCCCUCAGCUGAAAAUUCAUGGAUUGAUUUGUUUAUUUGUUUAUUUUGUGCUUUUAGGAAAGAUCCUUUUAGGUUCUGGAACUGUAUUUCCAGUAGCAGUUGAUACAGCUGUGAAAUAUAAAAUAGCUUGGACAAUACCUGAGACAAUUUACUGAUGUACACAUUCAGAAUUGUCAAGGGGAUACAAUACACGUCCUUACAGAUACUUCCUAUCUUUAGUUUUUAUGGUAUAGCUAUUUUUUUUUUUUUUAAGAUUUCAAGAAAAUAGUUUUGUUCUUGAGUAAUAACAUUAAGCCUUCUCUUCAGAAAAAGAGAAAUCAAUGGGCCUCAACUGGCUUUAACAGAUGUACAGGUAGUAGAAUGUUUUACACGUAAUUAUAAAAACUAUUUACAGUAAUUAGCUUUAAUUUAAUUGCUUCUCAGCAUGUUAGGAUUGUAAAUUACAGCUUUAUUUCAAACAACUCCUGUUGUCUGUUUUUCCUAAGCUGAACACAGGAAACCCAGUGAAAACAAACACUUGGAGAACCGCAAUUCUCCGUUCCUGUUUGAAGUAUGUUGAAUGGGAAUGCUUUGCUCGCUUUGAUCUUGCAAGCAGCGCUUCACUUACCCAUGUAGACUACAUCUUACUUCCCUUAGCACUAAAAGUGUUCUCCUCCUGUGAGCAAGAAGACCAUCACAAGAUUACCAUGGAGCAAGCCAGCUCCUGCUAAUGUUCGCGUGAAUCCAAUCCCAUGCAAGCACUGGUUAUUUAAACAAUUGUCCAACUUCUUCCAGCUGGCUGCGCUAUUUAGUGUUUGUCCCCAUUUUUUGCCAUGCAAACCUGAACGAGGGUGUUCUAUUUUUUAAUUUCAGUUCAGAUUUUGAACGCUUUUAUUAUGAAUUUCUUCAACCCCUGAGAGAAAUUAGAGAGGCAACAAUGCUUGUCUUAUUGCAUAACACCAACAUUUAUUGACAAUGAAAAUAGCAGAACUUGCACAGAAAGCCAGUUUCUAAUAAACCCUUUUACUAGGUUGUUGUUACAGAAGUUGAAUUUUUCAUUUUUUAUAGAAAAAAAUUCUUCUUUUUAAAGAAAGGUCACUCAGUCUUUUUGGAAAGAUGUGUUAAAUGACUUUUCCCCCUUUACUAAAUUUAGUCUUUUGUUGAAUUGUUUCAGUUCCUAUUAAACCUUCACAAAAAUGUGCUUUCUAUUAUGUUUCUUCUAAUAGGUUUCUCAGCCUUAUAACUGUAAUAAAUUUGUCAGUCUAGCUUCACUGAACACCGGACUCCUAAAUCCUACCACAACAGAUUAUAAAUAUAACCAUUUCUAAACCCUUUCAAGAAGUUUUACCCUUUCUUUCAACUCAUUUUAUGUACUCAGCAAUUCAGUGAAAAUAACCUUUCAGACUCAUUCUUUAAACUCUCCUUUUUGGUGAUAGCACAGUCUAGUCAUUUGAUCAGUCAGUCAGAAAGCCUAAGUUCUGCUCCCGUCUCUGCCACUGUGGAUUCAGAGUCGGAACCAUCUCACUUAAAGUUUCCUUAGGUGUUCAUUUAGAGGAAAUGACCAACUUGACCCAUAUAGGGCCUGAUUUUCAGAGCAGCUGAGUGCUCAGAACUGCAAUUUAAAUCAUUUUGAGUGGUGCUCCUUAGCACUGCUAAAAAAAUCAUGCCCAAAGGCAUUUUGUUAGGUAACCAGAAUGGAAAAUCUUCAAAUGUAGCUUUUAUAACAUUUUUUAAAGAGACAAAUAUCCUUUGUUUCGUUUGUUUAAUCCCUUUCUUCUAAUUUGCUUCCAUAGGCCCUUUUCCUUUUCCUUUCCUCCCUUCCCCUUCCUCUUUCUCUUUCCCUUUCCAUUCUUUUUUGUUGAUGGGGGAAGAAGUUAUGCUUUUUUUAGAAAAUAAAAUACUAUUUUGAUGAACAGUUUUCUUUAGGGCGUGUUUUAAAGUUUAUAUUAAUGAAAACAAGGCAUAACAAAACCUAUAGAAUGUUAAUAACCACACUAAAAGCAGAAAAGCAGAAAUGCAAGCAGCAUGAUCACACAAAUCUAAGAAAAGCAGAAUGAAUGUAAAUAUCUGAAGCCCGGUAUCAUAAAAUGAAUCAACUUUGCUUUAUAACACUGUAUAACAAAUGGACAGGAAUGCAUCAUAUUUGCUUUGUAUGAGUGAAUAGGAAGUAGGGAGAGAUAAGGGUUAUCUAAGUAGUAUUAAAGUUGAAUUAAUGAAAAAUUCUAGGGAACACAAAUAAUCAGUACUAAUCCCAAAUUACAACAUAGACUCUGUCCUUCAAUUUAAAGCCCCUUGUCAUGCCUACCCAUAAUCAGCACAUGAAGGAGAAGAUGGACUACUUCUCUUGUUUUUCCCUUGGAGAGAAUUACUUAGCUGAGCUCAUUGCAAGCUAGUUAGGGUUUAUUCUACUUGUUUGAACAGAUGUAACUGCUGUGCUGUGUUUCUUGUCAUCUGAGUUCAAGAAAAAUGUAUUCAACCCAAAGAGAAAGCUUUUAGGAUGAUGAAGACAGUGGAGAAAGUUUGUUUUGUGAGAACAGGUUAAAAAGUUUGGCUUAUUUAUCAAUACAAAAGCAGGAAGAGUAUCUACCCAUACGUGAGUAGUUAACAUCAGAGAAAAAAAGAACUUCUUUAAGGAAAAAGAUAGAACUAGCAGUAGAACAAAUGAAUGUAAUUAGUAAACAUGCUCUUGAAAGAGGAGCUUGAGGAAAGUACCUAAACAUCAGACACGUUAACUUCUAGAGAAGCCUACUAGAAAGAGGAACGAUGCAGUGCAAGAAAACAGAUUCAUUUUAACAUGGACCUCAAUUGACUUGAGACUGGCAGUCUGUGACAUGGCUUCCUGCGAGACUUGUGCCUCCAAAGAGGAGUCCAAGCUGCAGAGCUUUUCCGAUGGCAAUGUUCUGCUGAGUUGUGUUGGUGAACCUUCAAGAAUGACAUCACCAAUGUCAAUAGCGUGAUAACCUGAAAGCAGGUUUUGAGAGAAAAUUUGGGAGCUAGAAUUCCAAGUCACCUGCUGCUAUGCCUCUAGCUAUGAAUAGUAUUGCAGAGGGAAGAGCGGCAAUAAACCACACAGUGCAGAACUUCACAGUCUGCUUUCAUUUGCCUGCCAAGGCAGCCUUCUUGCAGUUCUCACCAAAGCUAUAUGUGUGUAAAGAGUUGCUUUGCUAUCCAGACAUUGGAAGGUUAAUGUUUUUUUAAAAUCUCUGCGUUGUGAAGAUCUUUCUGCCUGCAUAGGCUUCCUAAUGUAAACUUCUAUUUGCUGUGAUCUCAAUGCGAGCUUUACAUUACAAAGUCCUACAUGAUGUUGGCUGUUUGUCUGAACCUAUUUCAUAGCCUAAGGCACAGAAAGACAGGUGAAUUUAAAUCUGAGCUUUCAAGUUGGCUUUCAAAUACUUGUCAGUUUAAAAUAUUAAAAUAACAGCAAGUUCUAACAACGUUCUCAGAUUUUCUUGCCCAAUUGAGUAUCUUUGGCUUUGCUGAACAGGGCUCUAUUUGUGAUCAGAAUUAUGGACAGCACUGUAGAGUCCAGGCUUUAAAAUAGCUGGAUAAAAAUGUCAGUGCUGCCACUGACAUGGAAAGGGUCAAUGCUUGGAUUUCUGGCAUUUGUGUUUUGGCUCAAAGUAGUAUAGGAGAUUUUCUUUGGAAAGGUGAAGUAGUAAACUCGGUGAGAAAUAUGAUAAAAGAAAUGUAGUCUAAGGAAUGAGAAAAUUACUUUCCUUAGGGAAUAUCAUUUAUUUUCUUCAUUAAAUCACAUCACAGAAGGGUAUCAGCUGAUGGUUAGAUCUUCAAUUACUGAAAAUGGUUACAUUCACUUAUGUCAGGUUUUUUUUUAAGAAAAUGUUUUUCUAUGUAAAUUUCCUGCUCUGUGCAUGUGUGUAUGUAUACCUUUGCACAUGUAUGCACAUCUUUCUUUAACAUCAUUUAAUUUAACUUCUUCAGUAAUUUUGGAAGUUUAUCAACUGCAGCCAAGUUUGACUCUCAGGUUACUAACCUCAAAGUCAUCGUAGUUCAAAAUAUUCCAUGAAAAUAGAUGGCUAUGCAGAGAGGAAGAAAGGCUAUAAAGAGAGCUUACCACUUAAUAGAUGUCAAAUGCUCCACAUAGGAUUUUUCCUAACAACACAAACUCAUGGUAAACCAGGUUCUGUUAUUCACAGAGCUGCAUAUUUACUUAAAAUUUUAUUGUAUUUAGAGCAACUGAUAUAAAACAAGUUUUUAUAGGCCAUCAAGCAAACUUCUGCUAAAAUAUGGACUGUCAUAUAAAUCAAGCAGUUAUAUGUCGUAAGUUUCCUCUCUGGAAAUGGCUCUCCAUAAUUGGCUAAUCUCUCAAAAUAAUUUGUGAUACCUUUUUAUACAUUGUGCCAACUGGAAUAGUCAAACAGGGCUGAUUAAAAUUAUGCUUCCCCAGUUCUACUUAAAAUAUGCAGUUCAUAACUUUUAUAUACCUUGGCUUAGACUGUUCUAGAUUUCUAGAAGCAAAUUCUGUCUCAGCACUAGUGGAAGCACAGUGAAAGGAAGAAAAUUGCUUUUAGUUUCUGUUUAUGCAUGAGAGACCGUGCAUGUCACUUGUAAUAGCAUCAUGGAAACAACAUUAGGAUCCAUGGCCCAAAUCCCACACAGCGAAGUGCUGAAGGUCCCUCCCAGCAGUGUUACCUGAACUGUAAUCUACUUGAUCGCGUAAUCAUAAUUUUUUUAGUAAAGUGAUCUGGUUAAAAAAUGUAUUUUGAAAUGUAAUCGUGGCAGCAGAGGAUCAUUUUGAUGUAACAUUAUUUUGUAUCAAGCCCUCCUGGGCUUUCUGAGGCACAUCUCCUGCUGAAGAUAUAGCACAGAAUUAGGAGUAGAAUUCAUUUAAAAUAAAAGACCAAACAAAGGAAAGAAACUCUAGAAAUUUGUUCAGUAAGAGAAGUGAGUAUUUUUAAUAAAGAAAGAACCAGCUAAUUUAAUUUGGAGCAGUAACUUUGGAAUCAUACAAGUCAAGAGCUAUUCCAUCACUAAGUCUUUCUAAAGAUGCACUAUGAGAGUACGAAAGCGAAUCAGUAAAGACAGCUUUUAAAGGAUGUCAGCACUCCUCCAUUGCUUUUAGCUCUUCAGCUAACUGCUCCUUUCCGUGUGCCUCCAGGCGUAGCUGGUGGGCGGUAGGAGCAGAUAAGAACAAGCACACUGCACUGGAUGCUCCCACCAGGGCCUGCCCGUGCUGACCAGGAGCUGCAAUGUGGAUCCACUUCCUUAUCCCACACGAUCUCACACUGGUGUCUGUGUGUGUGUGAUAAAAGCAGUGUAUUGCCCUUAAUCUUCCUCUGGUUUUGUGCUCUGCAGGAGCAGGAGCAGCUCUCACCAUGCACAGGAACCAGCAACUACUACAGAAUUUGCUCCUUUCAGAUAAGAAAACAUUAAUUGCCAGUGUUCACAACAGGGCAGAAAAGAAAGAUGCAGCUAAUGAUGUGCUCUCUACCUUGUUUUGACCCCCCUGCCUUGUUCCUCCAAGCUGAGGUGUUUUUACCUCCAAACCUCAGUAGUGCUCCUGCCUCAACCUGACACAUAACACCCCAGAAGGAAUUACUUUCAAACAAAUCAUGCGUUUGCAAAACCUACACAAGUUCAGAGGGAAAAAAAAAAAAAAAGGCUUCCUUUUCCCCUGUAGUUUAUUGAGAGUUUUUCUGUUUGUUUAUUCUCAUUGCAUAUGCUUGCAAGACCAUGAAGAAAUACAACUCUUGGAAGGCUGGGAAGAUAUGAUAAAGGCGCCUUCCUUCUCAUCAUCUUUCUGGUGUAGUCUGUGUUUAGAUUUCAUUUAUUUGCAUUCAGAAAAGUAAUUGGAUUCGUUUUAGAAAAUAACUCAGCAUGAUAUGGGAGUGAAGAGAGAGAGAGACAACAAAAGAUUUCAGCCGCAAAACUGAUAUACAGUAAAUGUGGCUUGGGAAAAUUAUUUGUUAACUUUUUGACUAAAACUUCUACAGAGGCAUUUGGUUUUCUAGCUAUGUCCUAGGCCCAAACACACAUCCAAAAACUAGAUGAGUCUCGUGGGAAGCACUACGGUUAGAAAUGACCUCAUUCUUUUCAAACUGACAAAAUGCUCUGCAAAGGCCCAUUAGUACUCACCAAAAAAAGACACACAUUAUAGAAGUGUUUUAGAAAGAGGCAGCCAUGUGCCAUCAGGGUGUAGGAUUCAGGCUUGUUUGCCAUGGCACCACUGGAAGUUCCAGGCAGAUCUUCCCAAUAUAAUACAAAAGAUCAGAUCUGCAUUAUCAACAGCAUGAGAAUAUUCAUCCUGUAUUUUCUUUUCUAAGAGCAGACUACAGAGGGUAUCCAGGGGACAUGGUUAAGAGCAGCACACGUAAAUUCUUACUGAUUUCUGACAAUCUGCAGAUGAGGCACAUUCUGAACCAGACAUCAUGGCCACAUCUUUGUGUUUAUUCCUCAGUUUGAACUCAUUUGUGUAAAUGUCUAAGGUAAAGAGCAUCACACAUAAAUAAACAGCAAACCUGUCUCUUCAUUAUGCAUCCACACACUGCUUCUACUGAUGCACAUGGGUCCACAGCUAAGGUCCCAGGAUACCACUACAACAGAAUAAUUACUGUUCAUCAUAAAUAUCUUUGUCAGAAGACUGGAAAUGAUAUGCCUAAAAUUGCUCAGGAAAAAAAAUGCAGUAAUGCUGAAAGCCAAAAGAUUUAGUGAUAAGGUGACAGUAAAAUCUUGGCUCCACUAAACUCGGAAUGAACUUUGCCAGUGGCUUCAGAAAAGUCCAGAUUUUUGCCUUAGAACCUGCCCAGACCAGCUGCUCUACCUGGAUGUCCUGAGAGAGCCUCCUGCCUGAAGAGGCUCCAAGAAAAGGUAUUGUCAUGAAUUCAGAAAACUGAAUUUUAACAAGCCUGUGUAUGCCAUGAAUGGCUCUGCCACUCUUCUGAGAACAAUCUACUCCUUCCAGUUUGCUAUUAUUUUUUACAAAGUCAGAUACUGCAGCUGAGCGCCCACAGUGUCACCCCCUUUGAGGGAGAACUGGCAAAAAACAUUCAAGUACAGAGGAUUUUGUAAAACUUUGUUGGCUUGCUAUUUGGAGAGCACUGGGAAGGGACUGUUGUGAAAAAGAAAAGAUCUGAGCAUAAAUCAUUUUUUUCCCCAAGUUUUCCAUUGGGAAAAGGACCAUCACUAUUCCUUCUUUGGCAAUUUCUUUGGCCAUUUUACAGUGAGGGCGGCUGCUGGUUGAUUUAAUACUUUACAUUGUGGCCACUUCAGGGAAACAAGUCUGUUCAGAUCAUGGCUGACAGAGAUGGGGAUCUCUGAUUUCAUGUUGAAACUGCACCUUUUGAUAGCAGACAGAUCUUGUGAGAGGGGAGUUGGGGCACUAGCUCAGAGAUAGGGAUGAGGACAGGGGUGGCCUUCUCUGUGGCCUCUCCACCAUGGGCAGACAGACCUGUGCAGAGCUCUGCUUGCUUUGAAAACUGCCAGCAGACUCUUGGCCUUUUUCCCAAAUCUGUGCAUACCAACACAAUGUCAGGAGCUCAACUUUGCUGCAGGCAUCAAAUGCCAUGUGGGCAAAUGUGGGAUGUGGAUGAUUGCUAAUCACAUCCUAGGAAGAAGUGGAGCCCUCCAGAAUAUAACAGUGUAUGAUAAAAUCUAAACGAGGAUCGCAUAAUGAAGCUGGGAUUAACUGCAUGGGGAACAUGGAGCUGCUUGCAUUGUAAUCUGUUGCACUCCAUACUACAACCUUAUAAUGAGGUUAGUUUAUAAAUCAUUAAUAGAUCAUAUAAGCUCCUAACAGAUAAGGAAAACAAGGUUUACAAGCCCAUCAGCAGAUAAUGUUAUAUUGCAGUAAUAAUCAACCUGCUGAACUCUGUAAUCACCUAUAGCAGUUGAAACCUAUUUGUGAAAGUAUCUAUUAAUUCAUAUUUACUAUUACAAAAGGAAAGUUAAUAUGACAGUAACGAGCAUAUAAUACGAGAGCACUUUUUAAUGCUAUUUUGUCUGUCAGUGCUUGCUUAUGCUUGGCAAGAUCCUUCUGUAAAUAGGAAAUGUGUUAGCUGGAACUCAGGUGGGAGGAGAGAGGAAUUCGUUUUCCUUCUAUUGUUGCAUUGUUAGGAAGCUCACUUUUAGAGCUGGGCAGAGGCAAUAAUGGCUUCUUGGCAAAAUGCUUUGAUAAAGCUGUUAGGACAGCUUUGCAAUUAGCAGAUUUCUGUCUGGAAUCCACCCCCCCCCCCCCCAACAACAACCAUUCCAUGGGAAUAAAAUCAUGUCCCCAUGUGCAGCCGUAGAGCUGGGAUCUCUGCAGGGCAGUGGCCUCUGUGCUAGCCCAGCCACCAAGUGCUUCACGCCCGCCUUUGGUCUCCGGUUCACUUGGUUCUAGAGCAUGACUUCAGGUUUUGUGUGCCUAACAAGGCGAUUGUAAUUGCAGUAAGGCUAAAAUACCAUUCCCCUGAAGUUCAUUGUAUCCUAAAUUCCCUCAAGUCUUGGGCUCAAAGAAAUGCUUUUGGGAAAGCAGAAUGUAAGCUAUAGCAGUUUAAAUGGCACUGCGUGAAACUGAUUGUCAUCCUUUCCAAAUCCAGUGUGCAGGAACUGACUACAUAGCUUUACAACUGUAUGUAUAUUCUCAUCUCCUGUGAGAAGCUGAACUGCAAGGAUGUACCUACAUUUCUCUAAGGCUGGGACAGACAUUUUAGCAGUGUGGAUGCAGCCUACCUUUCAUAGAAUAACCUCAGGUCUUUCUUCAUAUUGCUUUGCAAAAUUACUUGCAUCCUUUAGUGGCAACCAAACUAAACAAGAAGUGGAUAGGAGGGAUUUUAGGGAAUGAAUUGGCUUAUCUUCUGAUAGAAUAGCAGUAGAUAGAAUUUAAAAACAAAAACAAAAAACUAGCACAACCCCCUUCCACAAGCACUAGUAUUUCUCAUUCAUUACCCUGGGAAAUAACAUGCAACAAUAGGAUUAUGAUGACUGCAAAUGCAGCAUAUUGAAAUAAAAUUAGUUUAAAAGGCAGGAACAGUAUAAUCAUCAGGAACCUUUCUUGCAACCUGGAAAAUAACUUUAAUAACUUUAUUGUUGGAACUAGUCUAAAAAAUGUAGAGCUGUUCCUCCCCUUAUCCUUCCAAUACAACAGAGAUUGCGUUAAAAGCAAUAUCUCCAGGUCUGGAGGGCUCUUUUGGUAUUGCCUACCUAUGAAACACAGGGACCAUGGCACGCAGCUGGAAAUCAGCAAUGCAGAGUAUUGAAAUCUCAUUCAGACAGGGAUGUAUUUCAGAGUAUGGGACUGAAGUGGAAUAUUCAUUAUGUGGAAAGUUAAUGCAUCAUGCUGCCUAGGAAGGAUGCUGAGAGCUGGCAUAGAAAAUAAAUAAAGAUUGAAGCCCCUGUAAGUACAGGCAGAAUGUGGAAUAAGAGCUCCAAAGGUAAGGAAUUCCAUCACCGAAGUUAAUAUUCCUUUUUGGAACAUGCCUUUUGGAGUCACUAAGAUGGAAAUAACAUAAUGGGACUUUUCUAGCUACUUCAGAAAGGAGCUGUUGUAUAUUGUAAGGAAGAAAAGAGAGUGGGAGAUAAGGCUGAAAAUUUGGGCAGGGGUGGCUGUGUGCUCAGGAAGAUGUCAGCCCUGCACAGGGCUGCUCAUUGCUGAGGCUAUCAUUAAUUGCCCAUUAAAUACCCAUACCCAGUCACAGCACCUGCAGUGGUGGGGCUAUUUCAUGCUGGUUGUGAGAGAAUGGACUUUCCUAAUCUGGUAUAUAGUUGCGAGAAUACAGCUUUCCCACAAAAUGCCUUGAACAAUCUGAAACUCACCAGGGAGCCACUGGACGAGGUCAACACUUUGUGCCAUGUUUCCGUGACUUUGUGAUCAUUUGCAAAAUGAGCUUUAUCAUAUUGCAGAACAUGGUCUUCGUCCCAGUUACGUGCAGCAGGAGGGGAUCACAGGAGAGAAGAGAAUAAAAAGCAAGGGCAGGGGAGGACUGCUAUUAUCCCCAAUUUGUGAACUUCAGUGUAAUUUGACUGACUUUAUGCCAUUUAUUUUAAAUGACCACGUUCUUCUCAUUCGUCAUUUUGGAGCUUAUUCUUUUUCUUUUUGUCGUAUCUUUUAUGCGACAAAUUCCUGCUCAAUACAUUUUUUGGCAGUUACAUACUUAAUCUUGCUGAUUCCUGUGGAUACCAGCACUGCAAUGUGUUUCAGACGCUGUUAGAGCUGAUGAAUCAGAGACCAGUCCCUCAUCUGUGCUGGGGACUCAAGGUGCUGAGUGCUUGCUGAUCAUGCACCCAUACCUCAAGCUGGGAAAUUAAGAGGAGAAUUUUAGUGAGCAGAGAAAACUGCACUGUGACAGUGCUCUGUUCAUCUGACCAUGUAAGCUUGAGUUCAUUCUUGCUAAAAUACCCAUAAAAUGUUCACCCGGUUUAUUGGGUGAAUGUUAUGAAGACAUAGCGGCAUGCAAGCUGGCUACGGCACACUGCUAUUGUGAUGCAAGAAAGCUAGUAGAUAUUUUUUAAUGCGUAUCUAAACUGUGAACAGAUAGCAAGAUAAAUAAAUGCUGUAAAACUGUACCGAUGUCCUACGUGAAACCAAUUAGGUAUGUUACUGGUGUUCCUCAUUCUUUCCAAAUACCUUAAUGCAACAGACUACUGUGAGAUAUGUUGACCUAUUAGGUGUGUGCCAGAUGGAUAGGACCCUGUCUACUGCAGAUGUAUUUGGAAUGACUACACAAACCAGUACAAAUCAUGAUAACUCAAGUCUGACAUACUGGCAUUAACAGUGACCACAACUGGCUUCAUAGUAGGUGAGCCAAUUGCUACAGGUUUCAGGAACCACAUCACUGAUAGGAGAGCAAUAGCAUUUCUGAACUGCAUACAGAAGGUAUGUUCUGAUAGUAGACAAGCCACCUGCACCCGUUUUUAUUUCAGAAAAAAAAAAAAAAAAGAAAAAAGAAAGGAAAAGGAAAAAAAAAAGAGCUAAGAUUUACUUAUAGCCAAUUUCACAGGCUGCAAUCAAUUUACAGGUCACUAGGAGACUUUCAGGCAAAGGCACAACAUAUGUCUAACAGGAUCCAAGUAAGAGGUUUAAGUAAUAAGGAAGCUUAUUUAAGGCACUAAAAUUCAGAAGGCAGAGUCUUUCCUAACCUAAGCUACUGAACUUUUAAGAGCUUUUAUGAUUUUUUUUCCCCACACUAAUGGUAUUUUUCAUCUCAAAGGCUAGUACUAAGCAACACUAAGGACAUUCUGUGCUAGUUGCUAAGUGUUCCUAUACUUAGCUAAGUAAAAUGUUCAAUAGCCUAGCCAUUUUACUCUGCCACCUAUUUUUAUACAUCUUGCUGUAUUACAGCUAAGAUAACCUGGAGUUUGCUCUGGUCAGUCACACCCAUGGCAUUAACAUAGAGUAUGUUCUGCAACCUGAUGUUCUCUACAGAUGUCGGCUGAUAAUAUCAUGAGUGAAAUGAUACUGAAUUGAAAUGAGAUCAAAUUAUAUUUCAAAUGGAAGCUACUGCUUAGCGUGCCAAUCUGAAGAUUGGAAUCAGAGUUUGUCCAGUGGUACCGAUGCUAAGCCAAUACCCUGAAAGAUAAUGGUUUGAGCCUAUUAGGAAGAAUUCCUGGAGGGCAAAGCUGUGUGCUGCUGAUGGUCCCAUCAGGCUGCAUGUAAUGAAAGCCUCAAUUUAUUGUUUUUCUAUGGUUUUCUAUUCUUCUUGGUCGUCUGCUGAUGAAACCUGAUAAGCACCUUGUUACAAGAAAUUACUCAUUUAUCUAGUACACGCAGGACACCCCUAUUCCAUUCCUCUUGUGUAUGGGGUAGGAACUGUUUUGCAGAGAGAAAACAGACAGGCUUUAUUCAGGAGAUCAUUUACUCCCAUGCAUUGGCUGAGAGUGUGCUAAAGAUCUCAUUUUAUCCUGCAAUCAAGCUUGUCGGCUCUCCCCUUCUCAGCAAGGAAAUAAAGAGGAUUGCAGCUUUCCUCUCUUGUAGAACAGUAUACAGCAUCUCAGAUCUCUAUUGCUGAACCACAGAACCUGCUAUGCCACCUGCCAAAUUUAUAUUAUUUGAAGUAACCCCCCUCAACUCUCAUUUUACAAAAUUAAUGGUGAUUGCCAUUUUUCCAGGUUUUCCUGUCUUGCUAGAAAGUCCAUUGAGGAAAGCAUCUCAAAGGAUGACAACACACCAACCCUCCUUAGAUAUAGGAACAAAGUAUUUAUAUUAGAUAUCGUACAAGAAUAUCCUGUGGUAUGUGACAUAAGACCAACAGGAUUUGAAUUCAGUUGUGACAGAAAUUACGAGCCAUACAGGAAGCAUAGCUCACAGAGACAGUGAAAUGUGAAGGACUGAAAACUGCUCCCAGAAGAGACAUGGAACUGAAAUGCAGAAUCUUUUCAGAAUUCUAAAACAUAACAUAAACCAGCAGCAAAGCCGACAUCAACUCCUAAACAAGGAUUUCAAGACAUAAGGAAGAUAACAACUUUAGAAAAGAAAAGCGAGCCCAGUGACUGUCACAUUAAUUGAACACAGUGUCAGGAAAGAUUGCUUUGUGAAGUGUUGCUUCUUAAAGCAUUACAAAGUCGGAACAUCAAAACCAUUGACUGGCAGCAAAGGGGAAACAGAAACCACAAGUGAUCGAUAAGGCAACUGCUGGCCAGGGCGCUGACAUGCCAGUGCACGAGGUCCUCCAUGGAGCCCCAAGUGGCCACGUACCAGGACUGGGACUGAGCCAUUGAUCAAAAAUAUUUUUCUUAUUGCAAAGGUCUUGAAAGUACACCUUCUGGCAUUUGAAUCCAUUUAAUAAAACGCUGCUAUUAUUUGCGCCUGCUUACCAUGACUGUUAGCAGCCUCUGGAAGCCUUAAAGGCUAAACUCAUUAGCUAUUUAUUACAGAAGAAGUUGGGAUCUCCUGAUACUGCCAAUUAAUUCAGGCAUAUUGUUAGUAGUGGAAAGUGCUGGUAAAUCAUAUUUUUUUUUUUUGCCCGAGCAUUGAUGACCUACUUACUGUGUGUUUCCACUGGAUAUAGGUCUUCUCCAGCAUCAGCACAGGAUCUGAGCACAUUUCCAAGGCUUUGCCUUCCCUCCUGCCCUUCUCUCCUGCCCAUCACUCACCAGGACAGCUCAGGAGCUGGUGAGGCAUCUCAGUACUGUAGGGUCUGAUUCCUGUAACCACCACAGAUGACCCUUUUUAUGCUGUGCCACUGUCCUAGGAGGUGUUCCCACUGCCUAGCAAUGGUUAGCUCACAAGCCUUGCCAGCCGGCUGUGCUUGGUCUUGUGCUGCCCUGGAGCUGCCAUGCCCAUCACCUGCUGCAGAACAAGAGCCCCAACACCGAGCAGUUUUCCUAUAAGGACAACAAUGUAAGUAACACGUGCAAUCAGCACAAAACCACAGGCAGUAUGUGGAGCUGUUGAUGGUUGUUUUAUUUUUUGCAAAACUGGGCACUGACAGCACAAUGUGCCUGUUUCAAUGACAGCUCUUGGCUGUGGUGCAGCAAGUAGGUAUGGCUUCUAAUACACACCAUGGGGAACACUUGCUGCUCUGUCUCUAGGAUUUGGAACAUCUGUCCCUCACUACCGUCCCGAGAUGGGGAUGAAUGCUUUUCCCUUCUCCUCCACAGCGCCCAGUGAGCUGCAGUAGGUGCAGGUGACCCCAGCAAACCAAGUGACAGUGGCUGGGUGGAAGCCCCUGCUCCUGCAGGCAGACAUCUGCUGAUAGCUUGAACCAGGUCUGAGAACGUCACACCCAGAUAUAAAGGCCCAGUUUAGAAUGGAGACAAUCCCCUUUCCAAAAGGGAUUUUGAUGUCACAACAGUCUGGGGGGGACAGUCAUGGAGAGGAAAGGGAAGCGCUGAUAGUCUGAGGCAGAAAGCUCUCUGAUUGUCUGAGACAAUUAAGAGGGGAGAAGCAAUCUCCACUGUCAAGUGACUGAGAGACAGUUCCAGGCUGAGUACUCCUUGGAAAUUUGAGACCUAAUUAAAGCAGGCCUUGGAUCUCAUCAUUCUUCCUGCACGCCAGGGACCAUGAAAUACUGACUUGCGCAUCUGUUCUGUAUGUGUAUUUGAUGCAAAUAAGAAAGAAGUCUGUAAAUACAUCAAAAACCAUACUUUAUUUUAUGUAUAGCAAUACAAUUUACAUAUUAAAUAACACUAUAAUAGAAUGAUUUGAUAUAGUUUUAAACAUAACAAAAAGAAGAUUCUUCAAGUUACAAAAAAACCCCAAACAAAAAAACCAAACCAAACCAAACCAAAAAUCUCCCUCAAAAUCCUCCCUCCCACCCUGUCCCAAAACCAAACACCACAUUUUUUUUUUUCUGAAUGGAUCAAUGAGACAAACGUAUCCAGUGACUGGCUAAGUCUAAUUCCUAUUGCACACACUGACAAUGGAAUAAAAAAAAAAGAGAAAAAGAAUCUAACCUUCACAAUCACUGCCCCAAAGAAAUGACGUGUGGAAAUCUUUUUGGAGUGUGAUGAUGGUGUCUCACUACCUUGAUACACAGAAGGUAUGGAUUCACAUAGCCACCACAGAACUAGGAAGGAGGUGAAACUAGAAAAAAAUUAGCUUUAUAUGAAAAUAUAAAAUUCUAUGAUUAUAUACCAUAGAUACAAAGUUCCCAGAAGAUGCUUAUCCAA